GACGAACGCUGGCGGCGCGCUUAACACAUGCAAGUCGAACGAGAUGCUUGUUUUCGGAUGAGUUAUCUAGUGGCGCACGGGUGAGUAACGCGUGGGAACCUGCCUUUAGCUACGGAACAACCACGGGAAACUGUGGCUAAUACCGUAUAAUGCCCUUUCGGGGGCCAAAGAUUUAUCGGCUAUUGAGGGGCCCGCGUUGGAUUAGCUUGUUGGUGGGGUAACGGCCUACCAAGGCUCUGAUCCAUAGCUGGUCUGAGAGGACGAUCAGCCACACUGGGACUGAGACACGGCCCAGACUCCUACGGGAGGCAGCAGUGGGGAAUCUUGGACAAUGGGGGCAACCCUGAUCCAGCGACGCCGCGUGGGUGAUGAAGGCCUUAGGGUUGUAAACCCCUUUCACCGGGGAGGAUGAUGACGUUACCCGGAGAAGAAGCACCGGCUAACUCCG
rnacentral:rRNA from 1 species